AUGAAAACGAGAAAUGAUUCAGUGGAGUCUCAGAUGAAUCAUCCCAUACCUCCUCACGACAAACGUACAACUUGUGAUGUGUCUGAACCUGUGUAUGAGAAUGUAACGAUGAAUAACUCCAGAGCUCAUCAUGACAGACAUAAAGCUUGUGAUGUGGCUGAACCUGUGUAUGACAAUAUACCGAUGAAUAACUCCAGACCUCAUCAUGACAGACGUAAAGCUUGUGAUGUGGCUGAACCUGUGUAUGAGAAUGUAACGUUUGAUGGGAAGAGGCUGUAGAACUUGUGAGCUUAAUGAUUUUACAGAAUAAUGUAUCUUGGGAUCUUAAUGGUCCUUUAAUGCAUCCUAAAUCUCCUGUUUGAAUGUUAGAUUCCUGUUCACUAAAGGCAUUUAUACACUGACAUACAUGUACAGCUCCUUUAAAACAAUUGUGAAAUGCCAGAUAAAUAAAACUGUCUUGAAUUGACAUUUACAGUAAAGGCAUUAGAUCAUUUUAUGAAAUAUGGUUUUUAAGGUUUUUUUAUUUUUUUAUUUCAGCUGUUACAUAUAAACAUUUUUGCAUAGAAACGAGAAGUUAUUGUAAUCAUUAAUAUAUUAUCUUAACUUGUGUAACGUUCCAAACUCAACAUUUCCUCUUUGUGCACUACUGAUGAAAGCCACUCCGAACGAGGUAUGAGAGAUUUUAUAUAUUUAAUAAAGAACUUGUACAUUUCAAUUUCAAUUAAAGGUAUGUAAAUAUGUAAAGAAUAAAGAAAUGUCAUUGUAGAGGAUAACAAACAUUUUUAGAUGCUAGACCAGAGUCAUACAUGAGUAAAUAUUGUCUGAUCACUGUUAUUCAUGAAGUGUAUAUGGAUCUCUGACACACAUGAUCUGAUAAAAUAAAACGCUUUAAUAGAGCAACACAUAAACCUCUGUUGGACAACAAAUUAAUUACAACAAAUAAAUUAUUUGAUUAAAAACAAAUGACCUGCUAUUAUGCAUAUUACUAUACUAAUGUGCAUAACGUCACUAACAUAGUCUGACAGUGAUUGUUUCUGUCCUGUAUACUGUAUACUGUAUACUGAGUUUUUACAUAUUAUUUAAUAAAGAGCUUGUACAUUUAAAUUAAAGGUAUGUAAAUAUGUGAAGAAUAAAGAAAUGUUCUCGUAGAUGAUAGCAAACAUUUUUAUUUACUUGAUUUUAACUACAAAACCAGAGUCGUACAGGAUUAAAUAUUGUCUGAUCACUGUUAUUUAUGAAGUGUCUAUGGAUCUCUGACACACAUGAUCUGAUAAAAUAAAACUCUUCAAUAGAGCAACACAUAAACCUCUGUUGGAUAACAAAUGAAUUACAACAAAUAAAUGAAUUAAUUAAAGACUAAUGUGCAUAACGUCACUAACAUAGUCUGACAGUGAUCGUUUCUGUCCUGUAUACUGUAUAAUAACUGUUGUUAAGUAAUCUCAUUUGUUAUGGCUGUGAAGAUUGCAGUGGUGAUGAAGGUCAGAAUGACUCUUUCUCUUCCUCUCAUCUUUCUGCUCAUGAUUUCUGGUGAGUCACAGCUGUUACAGUAGUUAAAAUGUUUUCUGCAAUAGCACAUAAAAAAAAAUCUGUUAUAUUUUAUCCCUGAUAUUUUUUUUGCCAGUCUCAGCCCGUCAAUCACUUUGCAUGUUCAUAUUUGCUGACAUGGCACAUGUCUUUAGAGGGCGGGGCUUAAAAGAGAGGAAGUGCGGUUGAAGUUAGUGGAAGUUAGCAAAACAGGUGAAAAUUUUAAAUUAAACGAUGGUUUUCUUGCCUCCUUUGAUCACAUCAACUCGUCUUGAACUUAGUUGGAUUUAAUAUUUUAGUCUCUGUGUUGAUGUGCUUCAGUUUUUUUUUUUUUUUUCUGCAUCAUUAUGAUAAUUUGUGCUUUUUUGCAACACUGUUUAUUCUCAUUUGCAGGUCUCUUGAAACACUUCUCACUUCACAACAACUGAUUGAUAUUAUUAACAUUUGCAAAAACUCAAGCUUCACUGCUGUUCUUCUGUUUGUAUUGCAGGAGUUUUUGGAGAAAAAUGGAAUGUGAUUUAUAAAACUACAUCAAUAUGUGCUC
rnacentral:lncRNA from 12 species